UUGUGCUAGAAUGUGCUUGUGCAGUCAAUAGUAUGUCAGAGGUGGGUCUUGAAUUCAAGUCUUCUAGGCUCCACCGCUCCUCUAUUAUCGCUGACAUCAUGCAGUCUCUGAGACAGAGUGUACUUCAAGGAUUUUUGGUGUCAGUGAUGUAAACACCACUUCCCCCAGGGCCCAUCACAACCUUUCCAACUUCUGCUCCUGAAGUCACCAUCUGAGUGCCAGUAAUACUCGAGAAACAAUCUGGACGAUGGGAUUACUGUGAUGACAACCCACCCAGAAAGCCAUGGCCGCUUGGAGGCAUCCUAGUUGGGCCAGGGAAUGCAUGUUCAAAUCAGGAGAAAAGCAGCUCUGCUCUUUUCUUCCAGAAAGAGAGACCAGCUUCUCUCCCAAGUGUUUAAUUUCUGAUGCAAGCCUGAUAACUAUUGCUACUGGACUCCAACCAAGGGAAUGGCCCGGUCAUUCCCCAGCAAUGUCACUGGUUGUGCAGCUGCCCUAGGAGUUCAUUAAGGAGCUUUAUUGGACUGGAGGGUGGGAGGAAACACGUUGCCAAGUUUGGAACCCAGUUUGGGCCUCAGAGGUCGGGGACUGUGAAUGGAGUAUAUUAAGAUCCUGCUGUAACUCCCCUCACUCUGGCACAGCUUAGCCUUCUGUUCUGCAAGUAAUGGCCUCAAGUCUCUCAUGAAAAAAAUCUUAUUGGAGAUCAAAGCAAUCUUGCAUAACCUCUCUUUGAUGAGUUAAGGGAAAAUGAACCAGAAACACAGGGAUUAAAUGUCCCUUAAGAUACCCUUGGGAUUGCAACACUGAGGGGGAAAGUGCUUGGCAAAACCUUAACUGUUUGGGGGAAACAGUGUAAGCAGUAUGGCCAGCCACGACGGCCCAGGUCUGCCUGCACCUAAUUGGUGUGUUAUUGUCCUUUGGGGGGAGAUUUCCUCUUUAAAUGGAAGGAACACCUGCAUUCUGGGAGAACGCUGUUCCCAUCUACACAAUGUUGCCUCUGAUUAAAUGGAGCGUAAUUUCAGUCCGAAAA